AGAUUUAGAUGAGUGAUCAAAAGAGAAAGCUUCUGGAAAUAGUAGCCUUUAAAAAGCAGUUAAACGCAUUGCCAAUAUUUCAAAAUGCAUCCACCAGCAGAAAGUAUUUGCAUCUAUUGCAGAAGCGGCGUUCUACUAUUAUUAAAAAGAUGUUUUUGUUGAGGAAACAAUAUUUUUUGUUGUUUUCGUCUGCUCAAUACCUUUCUAAGCAAUCCCGAUUAUAUUGGACAAAAGAACGUUCCCAAACGUUUUGGGAAGUAGACUGUCAAGUGAAUGGUGACGUGUUCUUUAAGAGCAAUUUUAGAAUGAAGAGAAGUACGUUCCUUGAGCUGUGUGGAUAUUUAAGAGUGUUGGAAAAAGAGGAUACCCCUUUACGUAAGGCUAUCACUUUACACAAACGGGUAGCCAUUGCUAUCAUCAUUGGGAUCAUCGGCAGAAUAUCGCACCAUAGGAAACACGUUUGGAGUUGGAAAGUCCACUGUAUGUGAAAUAGUUAAGGAGUUUUGUAUUCAGACUUGGAAGGUUUUAAGUCCAACUUUCAUGCCAACUUUUCCAUUGACGAGACAAAAAAUUGCCGAAUUAGUCCAGGGAUUCGAAAUUAUUGGCUUUCCUCAGUGCAUGGGAGCAAUUGACGGUUGUCAUAUUGAGAUUCAUCCUCCUAGACAAGAUGCCACGGACUAUCAUAAUUACAAAGGGUGGUAUUCCACCAUCCUACUCGCGUUAGUUGAUGCAAGAUACCGAUUUGUUUAUAUCAAUGUUGGUAGUCCAGGACGGUGUAACGAUUCCCAAAUUUUUGAGUCAUCAACGCUGAAGGCACAAUUAGAACAGUGUUCUCACCGUCACGAAAUGAGUAGAACUAUUUUAGAUGUUGAUGUGCCGGUUUUCAUAGUAGGAGACUCAGCUUUUCGUUUCAGCAAAAUAUUGAUGAAGCCUUAUGCAUCCCAAAUAAUGUAAAAUGAAAGGGAAAAAAGUUUUAACUAUUCGCUUUCGAAAGUGCGAAGGGUUGUUGAAAAUGCCUUUGGUCAUCUUAAGGCCCGAUUCCGACGAAUAGGCAAAGGUAUAGACAAUAAAGUCGAAAAUACGAAUGCUAUUAUCAAAGCAUGCUGUGUUCUGCACAACUUCUUAAACGAAAGAAAUGACAACAUUAACGAAAAAUGGAUGUCCGCUUUGCAGGAUAUAGAAAGGAAUCGUCAAUAUCCACAACAAGAAAUGUCUGUCAACGAUCGUCAAAAUAGUGCAGAAAUAAUUCGAAAUAGUCUAGCUACCUUUUUUUCUGCUGAUGUCGACGGUGUUGGGGUUGCACAAUUGGAAAGCGAAGUGGGAGAAACACCACAUUCAUAAAGAUCGGCCGAUGAUAUCUAUAGAUAGUGCCACAAUUUCACUAUUAUCUGUAAUUUAAAAAGUACAUACAUAUGUACAUUAUACUACAUCACUCUUCAUAAAAAAAUCGGUACUUUUUUCCCA
rnacentral:lncRNA from 1 species